AACCUGCCCAGCAGAUUGACUAGCGAACAAGUUCAACAUGCAUGGGGUGGGGGUGCCGGGGCGACUCGUCGUGCCGUCACCUUUCCCCCAGCUUGAGAAGCAACCCUUCGGGGGUGUUGAUCGAGCAAAAUAACGAACCCCGGCGCAGUAUGCGCCAAGGAACAUCAAUACAGGUUGUGCCUCAUCUGUGCUCGGUUCUCCGAUGCAUAGGGUGGCACCCAGUCUAUAUAAAUCAUUACUAAAACGACUCUCGGCAACGGAUAUCUCGGCUCUCGCAUCGAUGAAGAACGUAGCGAAAUGCGAUACUUGGUGUGAAUUGCAGAAUCCCGUGAACCAUCGAGUCUUUGAACGCAAGUUGCGCCUGAAGCCUUCUGGCCGAGGGCACGUCUGCCUGGGCGUCACGCAUGGCGUCUCCCCACCCAUCAUAGUGUGGGAAAAGGGGGAGGACGAUGGCCUCCCAUACCUCACCGGGCAUGGCUGGCCUAAAAAAGGAGCCUCAGGUCACGAACUGCAUCGGCGUAUGGUGGUAUACAAGGCUUUGCCUAGGAAGCAUCGCGUUGUGCAGCACGCGGCCCGUGAGGACUCGCUGGACCCUAAGUUCUCCCCUAAAGGAGAUAAAACCUUGCGACC
rnacentral:rRNA from 1 species